rnacentral:lncRNA from 1 species
GGUUUUCUCGCUCUAGGGAGAUUCUUCAAGCAAUCACUAUGUCAACAGACACAGGUGUUUCCCUUCCUUCAUAUGAGGAAGAUCAGGGAUCAAAACUCAUUCGAAAAGCUAAAGAGGCACCAUUCGUACCCGUUGGUAACGGGUUUUGCAGCAAUUGUUGCAUAUGGAUUAUAUAAACUGAAGAGCAGGGGAAAUACUAAAAUGUCCAUUCAUCUGAUCCACAUGCGUGUGGCAGCCCAAGGCUUUGUUGUAGGAGCAAUGACUGUUGGUAUGGGCUAUUCCAUGUAUCGGGAAUUCUGGGCAAAACCUAAGCCUUAGAAGAAGAGAUGCUGUCUUGGUCUUGUUGGAGGAGCUUGCUUUAGUUAGAUGUCUUAUUAUUAAAGUUACCUAUUAUUGUUGGAAAUAAACUAAUUUGUAUGGGUUUAGAUGGUAACAUGGCAUUUUGAAUAUUGGCUUCCUUUCUUGCAGGCUUGAUUUGCUUGGUGACCGAAUUACUAGUGACUAGUUUACUAACUAGGUCAUUCAAGGAAGUCAAGUUAACUUAAACAUGUCACCUAAAUGCACUUGAUGGUGUUGAAAUGUCCACCUUCUUAAAUUUUUAAGAUGAACUUAGUUCUAAAGAAGAUAACAGGCCAAUCCUGAAGGUACUCCCUGUUUGCUGCAGAAUGUCAGAUAUUUUGGAUGUUGCAUAAGAGUCCUAUUUGCCCCAGUUAAUUCAACUUUUGUCUGCCUGUUUUGUGGACUGGCUGGCUCUGUUAGAACUCUGUCCAAAAAGUGCAUGGAAUAUAACUUGUAAAGCUUCCCACAAUUGACAAUAUAUAUGCAUGUGUUUAAACCAAAUCCAGAAAGCUUAAACAAUAGAGCUGCAUAAUAGUAUUUAUUAAAGAAUCACAACUGUAAACAUGAGAAUAAUUUAAGGAUUCUAGUUUAGUUUUUUGUAAUUGCAAAUUAUAUUUUUGCUGCUGAUAUAUUAGAAUAAUUUUUAAAUGUCAUCUUGAAAUAGAAAUAUGUAUUUUAAGCACUCACGCAAAGGUAAAUGAACACGUUUUAAAUGUGUGUGUUGCUAAUUUUUUCCAUAAGAAUUGUAAACAUUGAACUGAACAAAUUACCUAUAAUGGAUUUGGUUAAUGACUUAUGAGCAAGCUGGUUUGGCCAGACAGUAUACCCAAACUUUUAUAUAAUAUACAGAAGGCUAUCACACUUGUGAAAUUCUCUUGUCUAAUCUGAAUUUGCAUUCCAUGGUGUUAACAUGGUAUAUGUAUUGUUAUUAAAGUAAGUGACCCAU